GGACUUCCUCUACCAUCCUCGGGUGGACAUUUUGUUUGCUUUUCCAUUAAUCCACUGGUUUAGUCUCCAGAACGCAAUGUCAGACCUGAGGUGACAGAAAAGGGAAAACGUGAGAGAGUGUCUUCUUCCCUGAAGAGAGGUGGGCCUGAGGCUUGACAGUGGCGCUGCCUGAGUGACCUAGCCGCUGGGCUGGGCCCUGGACAGCUGAUCCCAGCUGCACUUGUCGCCACCCUUCCGUAGUCCACAGGCCUGAUGGCGGCGGCUGAGCCGAUGGGCCCGGCACAGGUUCCCAUGAACUCAGAAGUAAUUGUGGACCCUAUACAGGGGCAGGUGAACUUUGAGGACGUGUUCGUGUACUUCUCGCAGGAGGAGUGGGUGCUCCUUGAUGAGGCUCAGAGGCUCCUGUACCGUGAUGUGAUGCUGGAGAACUUUGCACUUAUGGCCUCUCUGGGACAUACAUCUUUCAUGUCCCACAUAGUUGCCUCACUAGUGAUGGGUAGUGAGCCCUGGGUACCUGACUGGGUGGACAUGACCCUAGCUGUUGCCACAGAGACUCCAGGUGGGAGUGACCCUGGUUGUUGGCAUGGAAUGGAGGAUGAAGAGAUACCUUUUGAGCAGAGCUUUUCUAUAGGAAUGUCACAGAUCAGGAUUCCCAAGGGAGAUCCUUCUACUCAGAAGGCUUACCCCUGUGGGACAUGUGGCCUGGUCUUAAAAGACAUUUUGCACUUGGCUGAGCACCAGGAAACACACCCAGGGCAGACACCAUACAUGUGUGUGCUGUGUGGGAAACAGUUCUGGUUCAGUGCAAACCUUCACCAGCACCAGAAGCAGCACAGUGGAGAGAAACCCUUUAGAAGGGAUAAGAGCAGGCCUUUUCUUCUGAACAACUGUGCUGUGCAAUCAUCGGAGAUGUCUUUUGUGACAGGGGAGGCUUGUAAGGACUUCCUAGCCAGCUCAAGCAUUUUCCAGCACCAUGCCCCUCACAAUGAGUGGAAGCCACACAGCAACACCAAGUGUGAGGAGGCCUCUCACUGUGGAAAAAGGCAUUACAAAUGCAGUGAAUGUGGGAAAACCUUCAGCCGCAAAGACUCACUUGUUCAACACCAGAGAGUCCACACUGGAGAAAGGCCUUAUGAGUGCGGUGAAUGUGGGAAAACCUUUAGCCGCAAACCCAUACUUGCUCAGCACCAGAGAAUCCACACUGGAGAAAUGCCUUAUGAGUGUGGCAUAUGUGGGAAAGUUUUUAAUCAUAGCUCUAACCUUAUUGUACAUCAAAGAGUACACACUGGAGCAAGGCCUUACAAGUGCAGUGAAUGUGGGAAAGCCUAUAGUCACAAAUCUACACUUGUUCAGCAUGAGAGUAUCCAUACUGGAGAAAGGCCAUAUGAGUGCAGCGAAUGUGGAAAAUACUUUGGUCACAAAUACAGACUCAUUAAACAUUGGAGUGUUCAUACUGGAGCAAGGCCUUAUGAGUGCAUCGCAUGUGGGAAGUUCUUUAGCCAAAGCUCUGACCUUAUUGCACAUCAAAGAGUUCAUAAUGGUGAAAAGCCUUAUGUGUGCAGUGAAUGUGGAAAAGCCUUUAGCCACAAACAUGUACUUGUUCAGCAUCAUAGAAUUCACACUGGAGAAAGGCCAUAUAAGUGCAGUGAAUGUGGGAAGGCCUUCAGGCAGAGGGCUUCCCUCAUCCGCCACUGGAAAAUUCACACUGGAGAAAGGCCUUAGGAUGGGAGAUAAUUCCGUUUCCUUGUUCAACAUAAUAACUGACAUCAGAGAGAAGCUCCAAGCAUAGGCUUUAUAUGUAGCCGACAGCCAGAAGUAGAACUUUAUACACUCAAACACUCACCCUGGGGAGGUUCUUCUGAGUGCCAGCUAUACGGGAAGCCUUCUGGAGCUAUGCUGAGUUUUCUAGACUCUUGCUGGAAUUUCGUCAAGGCAGUGCCUCUGUUAGAAGCCAUCUGUCUUUGUGCUGGAAGAGUCCUGCAUUGUGCAAAAGUAACCCCAAUGUGUUUCAAAAGACAGACCUCUGUACUAUUCCCUUCCCUGGAGGGAAUCAUCAGUAGCCUGAGGCCAUCAAGGAUUCUCACUUUUUUUCUGCCCCACUACUGGUUUAAGCAUGAGCAUGACCCAGUUUUAGCCAGAAAGAUGGGAGCUUUGUUCUGCUGACCACUGGCAGAGGUUUCAUUUCAUGGAUAUAGUUGAUCUCACAUGGCACUUGGGAUGAAUUUUUCUAGCCUUCAAGACACCUGACCUGAAAUUGGCUGCCUCAUAUUCUGGUUUUGCAACAAAUGCCUUAAUUUUUAGACUAUCUUAAAUCUUGAGGAUUCUGUUCGCUUUGUGGGUUGGGUUGAGAACAGAAUUGAGCUAAGCCAGUAUGAAGGGAAGAAUAGCUUUUGUGAGAGCUCCAACUAUCUGUAUCUCUGAAGUGAUAGUAGGAUGGCAAAGACUAGCUCUUAUUCUAGUGUCAAGCUAACUUACUUGACUGCUUCAGCUCUCCUAGGAAAGAAUGCCAGUCUUUGUAGGCCUAAUCUUUUGGUCUAUAUGUUAAGAUUUUUUGUGUAAUCGAGGUCACCCUAAGCAGUGGGCAUUUGUUGUGAUAAUCUCUAAUGUGUCUGGGAGCAACAUGAAUUACGUCCCUUGUUCCCAGAAGAUACUUCAUAUUCCCAAGGCUUCUUGAGGAGAAUUUGAACUCAUGGGACAUGUCAAGAUCUCUGAAGUCUAUUUUUCAGUAGGCAGUUGAUAUUGGCUGUCCUCCAGAAGGCCCAGGAACACGAGCUGAACAACUACUCAUGCAAGAAAGCACAGUCAUAAGAACCAGAAAACUAGAUGAGUGAUCGGAGUACCUGAUUUUAACAUAAUAUCAAGAAGAAAGGCAUUGAAGUGGGUAGGAAAGGUAGUCUUGCAUUGCUUAAACCACCCCUUUCCCAUCCCUUGGCAGACCAACAUGCAGAGAAAAAUCUGUGUGCUUGUAGAAGAGAGCGCGAAGUGAGUGUGGGACUGCAUUGGAACCUGGUGCUGCCCAGGCACAGAAGAACACAACACAGCACAAUUCUACUUGUGCCCAUGGAGACUGCAUUUACACCAGCCUGGGGCCAGAAGCAAAUUCCUUUCAACCCCCGUGAAAGGAAUCUGAGUCUCAGCUGGCACCACCAACAGCUGACCGAAGUGGCCUGGGGCCCAGAAUAAGUUUGAGUGGCAGUGAGGUCACAAGGACUGCAGUCCUUGGGCAAGCCCUGGUGCUGCAGUGGUCUCUAAGGCUGUGGACUUUGGGUGCAUGUGACCCAGCAUGACACCAGCCGUAGCAGCCAAGGGAGUGUGCCACACCCCUCCCCCAACUCCAGGCAGUGUGGCUCAGAAAGAGACUCCUUCUGCUUGAGGAAAGGAGAGGGAAGAGUACAGAUGACUUUGUUUUUCAACUUGAGUACCAGCUCAGUCAUAGGAAAAUAAAGCACCAAGUAGAAUCCUGAAGCCACUGAUCCCAGGCCUUUCCUCCUGGACAGUGCUGCUAGACCCAACCCAGGCCAGAAGGGAAUCUCUGUCGUGGUUGGUUGGACACAAGUUCUGGCUGGUUUUACCACCUGCUGACUAAAGUGGCCUCAAGCCUAGAAUAAACAUCAGUGGCAGUCAGAUAGUACUGACUGUGGACCUUGGGCAAUCCCCAGUACUGUGAUGGUCAUAGAGUCCAUGGGUUUAGACUAGCAUUACUGUGAUGCCAGCUGUGAUGGACACAGGAGUCCCUGUGUCACCUCUCCCCCAAUUACAGGCAGCCUGGUAUAUAUAGAGGGACUUCUUAUACUUCGGGGAAUGAGAGAGAAGAGAGUAAGGGACUUUGCCUGGGAACCCAGAACAUUGUCUUCUCUUUCCCACAUCUAUCUAGGCUGGGUAUCUAGGAGUCUGCAAGAUUUAUUGCAUACUUGGGAUUAUGGCACCCUCUAGUGCUGAAAUGGCUGCAGUGACCACAGCUUAGGGAACUCAGCACUCAGUCCCCUUUGAAUUCUUUGAAGGCCCUCUGAAGAAGAAUGAGUACAAGCAAGGCCAGACUGUGAAGACUGGAAUAAAUAACAAACUCUUCAGUGUUCAGACAUAUACAAAUAUCCACAAGUAUUGAGAACAUUCAAGAAAAUAUGAUCUCAUCAAAUGGACUAAAUAAGCUUCCCAGUGACCAGCCGUGGAGUGAUAGAGAUCUAUCAGAUAGGGAAUAUCUUUCAGACAGGGAAUUCAAAAUAUCUGUCUUGAAGAAGCUCAAAGAAUGUCAAGAAAACAUGAAGAAAGAAUUCAGAAUUUUAGCAGAGAAAUUUAACAAAGAGAUUGAAAUAAUUACCAAAAAAAAAAAAAAAAUCAAACAGAAAUCCUAGGGCUGAAAAAGACAAUGGAUGAACUGAAAAAUACAUCAGAAUAUAACAACAGCAUAAUUGAUUAAGCAGAAGAAUUUGUUAGCUUAAAUACAGGCUAUUGAAAAUACAGAGGAGAAAAAAGAAAAAGAAUGAACUGUGCUUAAAAGAUAUAGAAAAUAGCCACAAAAGGGCAAGUCUAAGAGUGAUUAGCUUUAAAAAGGGAGUAGAGAAAGAUGUAGGGAUAGACAGUUAAUUCAAAGAAAUAAUUAUACUUUCCAAAUAUAUAUAUAUAUUCAUAUAUAUGUGAUUCAUAUUCAUAUAUAUAUGAAUAUCCAGGUAUAAGAAAGUCAAAGAUUGCCAACCAGAUUCAACACAAGACAUAUAACAAUCAAACUCUCAAAGGUCAAAGAUGAAAAAGAGGAAAGGUAGCAAGAGAAAAGAAACAAAUAACAUAUAAAGGAACUCCAGUAGAUUUGGCAGCAGUCUUCUCAGCAGAAAUCUCAUAGGCCAGAAGAAAGUGAAAAGACAUAUUUAAAGUGCUGAAGGGAACCAUCUUCAACCAAGAAUAUUCUAGUCAUCAAAUAUAUUCUUCAACCAUGAAGGCGAAAUAAAGGCUUUCCCAGCAAACAAAAGCUGAGGGAAUUCAUCAAUACCAGGCCUGUCUUACAAGAAAUAGUAAAGAGAGUUCAUCAGUCUGAAAGAAAAGAAUGCUAAUGUGCAACAAGAAAUUAUCUGAAGGAGUAAAACUUACUGGCAAAAGUACACAGACAAAUUGAGAAUAUUUUAACACUGUAGUUCUGGUGUGUGAACCCCUCAUAUCUUUAGUAUGAGCACUAAAAUACAAAUUUAUCAAGAAUGAUGACUGAAUAGCUUUUUAGGAGAUAUAUAAAAAGAUAUAAAGUGAGACAACGAAAAGAAAAGGAGUGAUGAGUUAUAGUGUAGAGAUUUUUAGUUUAUUCUUUGCUUAUUUCUUUUCAUUGUGAUCAAAGUCAAGUUGUCAUCAGUUUAAAAUAACUUGCUGUAACUGUAAGAUAUUUUUUAUGUCUCAUGGCAACCAUAAUGCAAAAAUUUAUAGUAGAGAUACUAAAAACAAAAAGCAAAGGAUUAAAUCAUACUACCAGAGAAAAUCACUUAUCCACAAAAAAGGGAGUAAGAAAAUUAGAGAAGACUUAGAAAACAAAUAACAAAAUGGAAGUAGUAAGUCCCUAACUAUAAGAUUUAAUGUAAAUGGAUGAAAUUCUUCAACUAAAAGACAUAGAGUAGUUGAAUGGAUUGAAAAAAAAAAAAAAAGACCCAACUA